GUAGCCAUCGCAGGUUUCAUUACUUUUCUUCCAUUCCGUCGCAGAAGGAAAAGGAUAUCGAAUGAUCGAUUCACCAUUGAGAACAUUAACCCCAAAAAGACGAAUAUUGUGGUGUUCUAACAGCGGCAGAUCAAAGAAGAACUUGAUGAGCGAAAUCCGCUGACAAAAAAAAAGAGAACUUUUUGAAUUCCGAUGCCUAGCGUCCCCUGAUAACCUAGGAUUAGUGGUGAUAGGGCUGAUGUGGUAUCUCGGAAACUGGGAUUUGAUGGUAUCUGUAGAGCGGAUCCCAUGGGCUUCUCGGGUGGAGGUUGGUUGAAGAUGAUGUGAUGCAAGUGAACGUUUACGAAAAAGCUGUCGUAAAGUUUCGUUCUUCGUUCAAAAACCCUAUUUAGAUAGAAAUGGACAUGUUAGAAAAUAUAGAAUAGAUAGAAUCUAUAAAAACAAACUAGAAUGUUUUACUUGUGGGAGUGUAGAACAUUUAGCCAACACCUGCCCCAAAAGAAUCAAUAGUAAAACAAGAAAUUCACAGUUAAUAAAAGAUUUUCAAGAAACCCUAAUAAAUAUAGAUGAAUACAUGUCAGACAACGAAAGUAUAUAUUCUAUAGUAAGUGUAGGUAUAGACGAAACCCAAAUAGAAACCUCAGAGUCAGAAGAUGAAGAGUUAAUAAAUGAGAUAUGACUAGAAAAACUAGACCUAGAAGAAAAUAACUUUGUAAAUAUAUUAGAAGAAUGUACCCAUAAGUUUGAAAUAAAGAAGAAAAUAACUUUGUAAAUAUAUCAGAAGAAUGUACCCAUAAGUUUGAAAUAAAUGAAGGAUUAGAUAGCAACCACUGUUUUAAAUGUAAAUGGUAUCCCAGUAGAAAUAAAAGAUCUAAAUGUAAAUUACUGUAACGACCUGACCCGUCGUCCCGUAAAUUAUUGACCCGUUUUACCUAUUUUAUGAUUUUAUAUGUUUUAAUAUAUGUAUUUGGAGAGUUUGAAGUAAUUCGGAUGGAGUUUGGAUAGAAAUGAGACAACCAGUCUCUUUCUAAGAAAGUUAGUUUGGAAAAGUCAACCGAGCAUUGACUUAUGAGUUAUAGGGAUCGGAAUAUAUUUCUGAUGAUUCGACUAGUUUUGAAUGGUGAUUUAUGACUUAGGAGCGAAAUCGGAACUUAAUUUGGAGGUCCGAUGCAGAAUUAGGCUUGAAUUGGCUAAGUUAGAAUUUGGCGAAGUCCGGUUGGUAGGUGAGAUUUUGAUCCGGGGGUCGGAAUGGAAUUCCAAUAGUUGCAGUAGCUCCGUCAGAUGAUUUUAGAUAUGUGUGCAAAAUUUCAGAUCAUUCGAAGGUGCUUAGGUCAGGUUUUGGAGCAAAUGCAAGUUUCGAAAGUUUUUGUUUAACUUAGGCUUUGAAUCCGUGGUAAUUUGAUGAUUUUGAUGUUUAUGAUAGUAUUUUUAUGUUACGAGAAAGUUUGAAUGAGGUAAUAGAAUAUGUCUGUGCUUUUGGUUGAGGCCCCGAGGGCCUCGGGGUGAUUUCGGAUGGCUAACAGGAAUUUUUGGAAUGAAAAAGUGCAGCAGAAAUUGCCCUCUGCGAUCGCGAGCCUGGGACUACGAUCGCAUAGAAGGUUCUGAGGGGGUGCUAAUUUGGUCUCUGCGAUCGCGUAUCUUGGUCUGCGAUUUCGUAGGCUAGAGUGGUUGGUCAGUGCGAUCGCGUAGGAGCGCGUGCGAACGCGUAGGGUCGCUAGUCAGAGUUCUGCGAUCGCAUGGUCUCACCUGCGAUCGCGUAAGAGGAAACGUAAGGGUCCGUAAUUUGUUCUCCGCGAUCGCAUCUAUACUCAGAAUCAAUCCGAACUAGCUGUAAUAACCCACACCUGCAACCUCAAGUGAAUUCAUACAAUAUACACCACAUUCCAACACUCGGAACAAUAGUCUCUAUCCACAGCAGUUUCCCACAAUAACCAAAUACUGAUAGAAAAAUCUUUAUAUUAGCUAAAGUCUUAUCCCAUAACCUUCAUAUACUGCCAACGGCAACUGAAACACGCGAUAAACCAAACCCAUCUCUCAUAUCAUCCAUUCAUGAGUCCAUUUCCUUUCUGACUUAUACUACAACAAAUUAAUCUCUAAAACACGCAACGAACCGUAGCAGUUCUUCUGGUCAACCAUUCAUGAAGCCACUUCGAAGUUGACUAUUACCACAAAUGUUUUUUUGGGCCAAACCUCGAUGUUACCACUCUAUCCAGCUGAAAUCAAAUCUACUCAUACUUAUUAGUAACCCAGCGAUCACCUCGACUCUAUCACAUCACUUAUGGUGAUAUGGUGCCUCAAUACAGGCCUAAGCCACAAUUGCAUAAUACACGCGCCAAUAAGGAACAAUUUAUACAUACCCAAAUCAGGCAAAUGACUCAACCAGAAGAGUUAUACCUGAUGCUCAUCAAUACCUUCACAAAACCAAACUGAGACCCUGUCUCACAUCAUGGGAAUGGAGUACCUGAAUCCUCCUCGAGAGGUCAUAACUUCACGUGGCCUCGCCACAACACGCGAUCGUAUCCCAACACCAUUACACAUGAAGCGCCUCAUGUUACCAUGCUCACAGUAGACAGCCAUGCACAUAUCUUUGCCUGAAACCAAAUUACCCCUCACACUCACGGUGAAACAAAUAAUAUACCAUAUUCAGUCCUGAAAGGGCACAACCGAUACACUAUCCACCAAGCAAUUCUCAAUACGGAUUUUCCUUAGAAGCCGGGAAGCAAGGAAUACAAAGCGACACAUGGAAAGCUAUUCUCAACCUCAAACUGUUGCGGCGCACAACCCGAUCUAGAUAACAUACUCUUCGCGGCGUGCCACCCGAUCCACACAAUAUCUCACAUAGGGAGGUGCACAUCGAGCCAAAUUUGCUCAUAAUAAGAAAAUACUAACAUCGGUCGAAGCAUGUGAGUUCAUAAAGAUAUCUUAUUAGCGUUGUAAGCUACAAAAUUACUAUGACUCAUGACGAAGCCGCACGACAUGGUGCCCUGCACCAGAUAAUUACUGAAAUCCACAGUCUCGCCCAACAACAUGCCCGACUACAAGGACGCAUCUGAAAAGUCCCUCAAUACAGGAACCGAAAUCACUGGUAGAAACCUCUAUACUGAAACCCGUCUCGAAGGCCCAAUUAAGGAACACAAUUCUUCCUAGAUGACCGCUAGUCUCUGGAACACAACCAUCCAGCUAGAACAUAGUCUGAUACACUCCGCCACGCAACAUGUGGCAUUUCCCAACAUUACUCAUAGCACAAUCGUUUAGAAUAAUCCGACACUAAGACAAUCACUCAACAUCCCCAUAACAUAUCCAGAAUUUAAUAUACUAAGCAAGGAAAGAUCCACUCGGCUAUAGCCGUUGACAGUACCAAUAUAACACACAUGAUCCUCAAUUACCACAUAAACUGCAUCGGAGAACUCCCAGUCUCCGACUACUCAUAGCACACGAAUCAACGUGCCUGAUCCAAAUAUUUUAGAUAUGUGUGCAAAAUUUCAGAUCAUUCAACGUGCCUGAUCCAAAUUUCCGAAAUGCGAAAUGCAGAUUACACCUCAAGUACCCAACUAUUCCACGAGGGAUGUUUUAAAACUCCCAUGCGCGAUCAAACAACUCAGAUAUCCACAGUCGACCCCCGUAAGGAAUUGCCGUAACACUACUAAUGUAUCAUUUGUGGAAUUACCCUCUUUCCAAAACUUAUGAAAUCGUCAAAUCACUUCCACUUAACAGUACCAGUUCUUUGAUUACUUGAAGCUAGUCAUUACCUAAGACAUAGCCAAAUUCACCAUACCUUUAAGAACUGAGUUGAAAACUCGCACACGCCCAUUUCGGUCCUUUACAGCAUACCGCAUACCCAGUAUUCUCUAGGGAUAACACGAGAACUUCCAUCUCCCUUCUGCGUCGCAGACAUCGACGCACCCAACUAGUCUAGGACUUCCAUUGAUUCCGUUUAGAAGAAAAAUUUAUUAUACACUCCAUGCUCCGCAUUUCCAUAGCAAAUAUACAUCUCCAAACCACGAUGAAACUCAACAAGAAUUCUCUCCCAAUUCUAUUUGCACAAAUUAAACUUCCAAGGACGGAAUCUCUCUAUCUGAACCAAGCUAAGGAGACUUUCAGUACUCAGGAGCGUCACUACCCACCGCUGGUAAGAACCCAUUACCUCAACACAUACCACGAUUGAUCAUAUCUUUACCAUACCGAUUCGGGCCCCUAACAAGUUACUCCAUUUGUAUCGAUUCCCACCUGAUUCGUUUUUCAACUAGAUAUACUCUCUUGUUGUAGCAGCACACUGUCUCAACCCAGUCUCACUAUAUGAGACCCAACACAAGACCAUACCCUAUAAGACCCAUAGGCCACUGAAUGCUUUCUCAAACGUGCUUUGACUUACCACAUUACAAAAUACUUUUCCCGAAGAACUUUCUGCGACUCUGAACUGGUUACCCUUACUUUCCAAAUACUGAUACCUAGAACCCUGUAAUCAACGUAUAAAUACCACAAGUGUUGACCUAUGCUAAUGAAAAAAACUAACUUGGUCACAUACUCAACCUCAAAACACCAGAGUGAUACCUAUCAAAUUUCGAUCACAUAAAAAACUAUUCUCAAAAGUAGACGACUCUUAUACACACUGCAAUUCACUUGACUUAAUGAGUCGAACCACUUGUGCCUUAUCAGCACUCUGACACCAUGGGACAAGAUUUUAUUCCGAUACAGCGAAACAAAUUUUUUUUUUCUUACGCCAAGCAUUCUUUAUCAAUAGCUCGAGACAUUCCCUUAUUUUCCCAAAUCCGCGAAGCACCAUAUAACCUUUGGCAAAAUUUCGCUUCACUCGGCUUCCUUUCUGCAACCAGAACUGAUUCACUCACAUGCAUCGAAUUGGAAUUAACACAGUACAUAACAAUACGACCAGCGCAUCCACAGCAACCUCCCCAACUUAGCUCGAAGCCAUUUACAUCACAACACAUAUGCUCUAUUGCUAUCGUAAUAUCAUGGUGAUAUUAAACUCACUCUUUCAAUCUGUGGAAACACGAAUCUUCAAAAAUUCUAACUUUCGCCCAAUUCUUGCAUUCAUUCACACAACCGCUAAGCCCAUCCUUAAGGCGUCAAAAUUUCUAUUAAAUCCCAAAUUUCCAAAAAUUUUGGCAGAGUUUCCUUUGUAAUUGAGCAUAUCCAGCUGUUAGAGAAUUGCCAAAAUCAUCCUAACAACACGUCCAAAACUAGACGUAGCAUCAGAAUGUAUAACAACAACCUCAAUCUCGAUACUACAUGUAUUAUAUUAUUAAAAUUGAUACCUGAAUAUGCGCUGCACCUGUUCGAAUGAUAACAUAUAGAAAAAUACAUCUUAAUUACACAUACAGUCUUCUAACAUACACAUAAUGAGCAUACCACUACGGAACCUGCUUGCUUCAAUAUAAUAUUUCGGUACAUCAUCCACCGUCAUACUCUUCACGCAAUCAGUUGGUAUUCCUGAGUCUGGACUCAUACCAAAACACACACACUCCCAGCUAGGAGACUCGAUAAAAGGUUCUUCAUGCCCCCAUAACUCGGGCCACAUCUCCAUUACAAUGAGAAUCAAACACUUAAUGGUUCGUCCACCGCCUAGCAGACCAUCUUCAACACUUCCAAGCCAUAUGAACACAUUACAUGGCACCAACAUACACACCACGUAGCUAUCCAUCCACCAUCACCACAAUUAGGGACAAUACUUAACUUAUAAGCUCAUAACACUAACUCGCUCAUUCAGCACCUUAGUGCUCAAGCCAUAGAUAGAGAUUCGGCCUCAAGUCCUCUAGACUGGCCCAACAUCUACUCAUAAGAAUCAUAAUUCGCCCCUCGAUAGGGGAACCACCUGAAAUCAAGGCAUAUAUAAUACUGGACGCUCACGGACGCAUACAAAUGUGAGGAAGGAAUUUCAAGGGUUACCCCUUCAAACUGAAUCAAGAACGCACGAUAAGAUUUCAAGAAAGUGGAGUGUUUCCUAAAGGUUCUGUAUAAACUAGACUCUACUAAACUGGCUCAUGACUCGUGAGGCCUAGUAACCUAGGCUCUGAUACCAACUUUUCACGACCCAAACCCUAGGCAAGCCCGACCAAACCCCAAUUAAGAACGGCAUCCAAGCCCAAAGAGAAACAAUUUAGGAAUAACCAGCAAAAUUCAAUAACAAAAAUCCCAACCCAAUGGGUAAUUCAUACCCAAGAAAAACACAACUGAAUAGUAAUCCUCCCAAAAAUCGAUGAGUCACGAGUCCAGAGCCUCUAACAAAAUAGAAUACAAGUCUGAACGGAAAUGAUACAGAGUCUAAUAAAAUAUCAAAAGAACAUGACUGAUAUAGAUAGAUCCUGUGGAUGCUGGGCAGCUACCUCCAUACUCUUAAUAGCUCGAGAAAUCAACAGCAACAGUACUAAGUCUCUGGAGCACCUGAAUCUGCACACAAGGUGCAGGGAAUAUGGGGUAAGUCUACCAACUCAGCGAGUAAUAAGCAUGUAUAGAAACCCGAAAGCAGGAAAUCCACAAAAAGCACAGAGUAAAGUUAGAUAAACAGUUCUAUACAGUACAAGUCUUAGAUAUAUCCAAAUAAAGCAACAGAAAAUAAAUGCAUGAGAUGCAAUGCAAUGCAUGACCAUUGCGGAACGUGCAGUCCGAUCCAUUUGGGUACCCGCGCUCACUGUGGGGGUUCAGACUCCGGAGGGGCUCCUACAGCCCAAGCGCAAUAUCAUAGUAACAUACCCUGGAGCACACAACCCGAUCCACUAUCAGUCCAGCUACAUGCAUGCAAGCCUCACAUGCACAUAUAUCUUGCCAUUUUUAGUUUAGUUCUUAGAAAUCUUAGGAUUAGGUGUCAAACCUCAAUAUUUACCAAAUCAUGUUAAACAGUGUUUUAGUGCAGGAGUGAUGUCAUGAAAUCAUGCUAUAAUGCAUAGAAACAGUAGUAACGAUCCUCACGGGAUCCAAAUAACUGGCACGCAACCCUAAUAUAUUCAUGACCAUCCAAGUAGGAGAUUUACCGGCCCAUCUAUAGCCAACAACACCAUAUAAUGAAACUCGGUCGGACUAAGCCAUAGUCCCAAAUCAUAAUCGACCCCGCACUCGCAGUAAAGUACGUGUCUUGCCUUAAUACAGCGUCACAAUGUGAUAUACCUGGGUUUUGUACCCUUGGGUCAUCAUCUACACCCAUUACUCACCUCAAGCCGGCCGCAAACUAGCUCGUAAUGCCUUCCCCUCGAGAAUCAACCUCCGCGGAUGCCAAAUCUUCUCAAAACCAAUAGGAAUAUGUCAAAAUAGGCUAAUGGAACAUAACCCAACCGAAAUAUCUCGAAAUACACCCAAAAACACGAAGUUGGCAAAACCCGAGCCUCGGGACCACUUCUCAAAAAAUUACGAAUUUUAAAUUUACAGAAUCCUCGUUUUGCCACGAGUCCAUACAUGUCAAAUUACAAGAAUCGGAGUCCAUUUGACCCCUCAAAUCAACACUUUGAGGUUCACUUGGGUUUCAAGCCCUAACCACCAUUUUGACAUCAAAGACCUUGAUUUCUAAGUGCUUAAUCCAUUAUUUAGUACCAUAAUCACAUAUUCAAGGUCUAAGAGAUCAUACCUGAAUAAUCCCCUUGAAAAUCUCUCCAAACCUCUCUCAAUCGCCUCAGCCCAAAGUUCUAUUGUUCUUCUCCUUUUCAAAAUAUUAAUCCCUCUGAUUUCAUUAAAACUGGAUGAUUUCCGCUUCCGCCGUAUUUUUCCGCUUCACUGGUCCUCGCUUCCGCGUCCAGUUGACCGCUUCCGCGGUCUGCCCAUUUCUUCGGUGGCCGCUUCUGCGGUCGAUCUACCGCUUCCGCGACUCCAUCGUACACGGUCCCUUUGACUUCUUCUGUGAUCUCUGGAUUCCCCCUUGGCCACUUCUGUGUAGUAUUGUUUGCUUUUGCGGACACCGCUUAAGCGGUCUCCCCGCCGCUUCCGCGAAAAUACCAGAAGCAGUAACCAUUUUUCAAGCUUAACUCCAAAAAGUACUCGUUUAACCAUCCGAUAUCACCCCGAGGCCCCCGGGGUCCAAACAAAAAACACAAUUAUGACCAAAUACCUCAUUUAAACUUGCUCGAGCCAUAAAAACACUAGCUUAAACACCGAAAAUCACAAAAAUCAUCAAAUCAAAGCCUAAGAUAAACAUGAACUUCUCAAAAUCUCAUUCGACGCUGAAACCAACCAAACGAAGCCUGAAUGACCUGAAAAUUUGCAGACAUAUCCAGAAUCACCAAACGAAGGUAUUGCAACUCUCAGAAUUCCAUUUUGACCUCCGGAUCAAAAUCUCACCUAUAAACCGGAAUUCGCCGAAAUUCAACUUAGCCAAUUCAAGCCUAAUUCUACACCAGGCCUCCAAAUUCAAUUCCGUCUUCUCUCCAAAGUCACAAAUCAUCAUCCAAAACUAGUCGAAUAGCCGGAAAUCCAUUCCGAGCCCUCUAACUCAUAAGUCAACAUCCAGAUGGCUUUGCCUACUUAAGCUUUACUUAAAGAGACUAUUGGUCUCAUUUUUAACUAAAUUCAGCCCAACACACUUCAAACUCACCAAACACAUAUAUCAACACACGUGGAAGCAUAAUACGGGGAUAACGGGGCUGAAAUACGGAAGAGGAUGGGUCGUGUCGUCACAUUAAUGUUCUGGUAGUCUUCGCCUUGAUGAGCCUUCUUCUUCACUUUUUGGCAAAGUGACAGCCAUAAACGGAUUUGUCUUUACCGGUCACUGUUUGAACCGGACUAGCUGUAUCAUAAUCCGAUACAGUGGAUUUUUCGGCAUUCAUUGGAGAAUGCACACCCUUCUCAUCUAUUUUUUCUUGAGAACGAGAACUCUUCUUCAGACUAUUCAUCUCUGUAUCUUGUUGAGGAACCACUUGAGUCUGAGAUUNNNNNNNNNNNNNNNNNNNNNNNNNNNNNNNNNNNNNNNNNNNNNNNNNNNNNNNNNNNNNNNNNNNNNNNNNNNNNNNNNNNNNNNNNNNNNNNNNNNNNNNNNNNNNNNNNNNNNNNNUAAGUCUGGUUUUUUCUUUCUCUAAGAUUUCAUUCUUCUGGUUUAACCUUCUGAAAGCUUCAGUCAUUGAUGAGCAAUGGUCGCAAAAUAUUAUUUUAUCUGUGUCUUUUUGGAUGUUGUAUUGGAUUUUUCUAGAUUUUGUCUGAGUGCUGGGGAAAUAUAGUAAUUUGGUCCGAGUAUUCCUCUUGGGUAGCUAGUGCUUUAGUAAAAUCAUUAAAACCUUUAAAAAGUAGUUUUUGUAUGUCUUUAAUAUAGUCUAAUUCUUCUAUCCACGUUUGAAAAAUAUCAUUUGUCUUACCGUGUACAACCACAUAGUAUAUAAACCUUUUUUCUUGAUUUUUGUCUGUAAAAUAUUUCCCCAAGGCAUUAAGAGCUGCUAUAAAAUAUUUAGUGUCUUUCUUAUUAUAUGCUAUCCACCAGGUUAUCAAUUAAACAUCUCUGGGGUCUAUCUAUAACACAUUCUGAUAAAACUCUAAAUGACAUAUUUGAUGGUGGAAAAGAUAUUAAAUUAUGCUUCCCAAAAAUUAUCCUUUCUAUAUUAUUUUGUUCUGUAAUGGAUUGUGGCUUAAAAUGAAGGUUACCUAAUAUUGUCGGCAAAUAUUUGUCUGAGGGUGAGGCUUGAACGCCUUUUCCUUGUCUUCAGUCUUGGGAACUGUUGGUCUCAUUCUAUACAUGUAAAAUAUUCUUAUUAAUUGACAAUAAUUUUUAACUUACUUAAAUGGUCUGCUAAAUUAUUAUCUUUUUCUUUAAUAUGUUCAAAAACUAAAUUAUAUACUGAUAUUGUAUCAAUAAAAUUUAACCAUCUUCUUAUACUACUAUUUUUUGCAUUUAUCUUUUGGUGAAAUUUUACCAUUUUCUUCUACCACUACUUUUUGCAUUUAUCUUUUGGUGAAAUUUGACAAUACCUUCACAAUCAGUUCUAAUUUUUACUUCUUGUUUAUUUAAUAUAUAUAAUUUAAAAUUGUUUAAUCCAUAGAUUACAGCUAAAAUUUCUGCGUCUAUACUACUCAUAUUUCCUUUCUCUUUAUAUUUGCCACUUUGUAUGCACAUAUUUUUCUGUAUUCUUAUCACUAUAUUUAUUUGAUUUUGCUUUUAAAACUGCUCCCCAUUCCUCAAAACUUCCAUCUGUUUCUAUAAUUAAAUAAUCAGUUUCUAAUGGAAUAGUUAGAUUAGGAAUAUUCUUUAUUUUUUCUUUAAUUUUAUGUACUUAUUUAAUAUCUUCUGUAUUAAAAUGUUUUUGUCUGUAAUCCUGUCUUAGCAUAUAAUGGUCCUGCUAUUUUUCCCAAGUCUUUUAUAAAAUUUCUUGCAUAAUUUACUAUUCCUAGAAACUUUUGUAGUUCUUUAAUAUUGUCUAAUUUAUCUGGCAUUUCUAAAGGCUUUUAGCUAUAUCGGGUUGUAGCUUAAUCUUCCCAUCCCCUAGAACAACUCCUAAAAAGUUUAUAUAAUUUUUACAUAAUUCCAUUUUCUCUUUACUAAUAAUUAUUCCAUUAUCUACAAAUAAUCUAAAUAUUGUAUGUAGAUAUCCUAAGUGUUCUUUAAUAUCUUUACUGAAUACUAAUAUAUCAUCUAUAUAUAUUAACACAAACCUUUUAUAUUCUCCAAAUAUAUUAUCCAUUUUUCGUUGGAAAAUUGAAGGAGCUAUUUUUAAUAUGAACAACAUUACUAACCAUUUGAAAUGCCCUUCUGGCCAAGUAAAUGAUGUCCAUUCGAUACUUUCUUCAUGCAUUUUUACUUGCCAAUAUCCUGAUUUACAAUCAAAUUUACUAAGUAUCUUUUUUCCUUGUAUUCUAUUUAUUAGUUCUGUUUUAUCAGGUAGCUUGUAUCCAUCUGUUCUGGUGUUAUCAUUGAGUCUUUUAUAGUUUAUUACCAUUAUCGCUUUUGCUCUUAUUAUUUCACUGUGAUUUCUAACCAUAAAAGCUGCUGACCUAUGUUUACAAGUAGAUCUCCUUAUUACACCUAAAUCCAUAAGUUCUUUAAUUUGAGCUUUAAAGUCUUCAAUGUCUUCAUUUGUAGCUUCUAUUGAAGCCGUUUUAAUUAUAUAUUCUGGGUUUAUUAUGUCUAAUUUAUACAUCACUUUAUUAUUUUCUCAGUGCUUUAAUGGUUUUUCUCCGAUUAUCUAUAUCUCAUAUAGAAUUUUUAUUAUAUUCUCAAGAUCCUUUUCAUUCUUUAUUAUUCCUAUACUUUGUUAUCCUGUUUUGAAAUUGUAUAAUUCUGUUUCGAUGUCUAUUAAUGUAUAGUCCUUUUCUAGUAUAUCUCUAUCUUUGUUUUCUUUUAAUAUUAAAUUUUUAGUUCUUCUUUA
rnacentral:lncRNA from 1 species